rnacentral:pre_miRNA from 1 species
AGUGGGAUAGCUGGGCCAAAUGGUGGUUCUAUUUCCAGUUUUCCAAGGAAUCUCCAUACUGCUUUUUAUAUUGGCUGCACCAAUUUGCAGUCCCACCAGCAAU